rnacentral:rRNA from 1 species
CCCAGUGAUUUAUUUUUAUUUUAAACGGCCGCAGUACUUUGACUGUGCUAAGGUAGCGUAAUCAGUUGGCUUUUAAAUGGAGUCGAGAAUGAAGGGGUUUUCGGGGACUAGCUGUCUCUGCUAGACUGAUUUUAAUUUACUGAGAGGGUGAAAAUUCCCUCAUGAAGAAAAAAGACGAGAAGACCCUAAGAGUUUUUAACUAAGUUAUAUUACUAUAUAAGAAGUUUUUGCUGGGGCGGCAAGGAAACAAGCUAUAACUUUCCUAUAAAUUUUGUAGUAGACGUAUAUAUAAAGUGACAAGAAACUACCUUAGGGAUAACAGCAUAAUUUAUUUAUAAGUUUGUGACCUCGAUGUUGGACUAGGGACUUUACGGCUAGCAGUCGCAAGAGCGGGUUCUGUUCGAACCAUCCUCCCCUACAUGAUCUGAGUUCAGACCGGAGGAUUUCCUU